GUGGGUUUGUUAGUAGGUUUGAGUCAGAGUGAGUAUUGAGAGAAGCGAUUGGUGUUAGUGAGUGGGACAGAAAGAGUGAUAGCACAUAGUGCAUGACUGAGUGAUUGACUGUCUUUGUGAUUGAAAGUUUGAGAGGAGUUGAAGAUUGUUUGUGUGUUUUUGGAAGUGGUUGUAAUUGUGUAGGUUUUGUUUUCUUUGUCAUUAGUGUUGUGAUUUGUGUAUUUGUCCUUGUUUUUUUGUCUUUGUACGUGUGUCUUUGUGUAAGACAGCUGAGUAUAGGGGUGAAGGAGUAGGGUGAGAUACCAAAGUUGCAGACAGAUGAGGACAAAGGGACAGGUAGCAGAAACAUGGAAAAUAAGUUGGCACAAGAGGUGCUUGACUUUCUGCCCCACAGUCAAUAUCCUGAAGGUUUAACAAGCAAACAGUGCUAUGUUAUCAAGAGAAGAGCUGACAGCUUCAGGAUUAAGGGAGCAGACAGAAUAAGAGUGAGCACCUUGCAAAGGUUGUGCUUACUGCAGAGGAUGCCAACUCUCUGUUUGAGGAGUUCCACAUGAGUGAAAUUGGUGGACACUGUGGAGUGGAAAAGACACAUGCUGCUAUAAUUAGCAGGUACUACUGGCCUGGCAUGGAGGAGGACAUUCGCAAGUUGCAGCGUCUAUUACAAUUCAGAUUAUGCAAAUUAGGUGAUGACAUCAUUCAGCGACUUCUAGCGACUUUUAGGACAGCCAAUAGCUACUUUCCUCACUGAAGAGUUGGCAACGCUGUGCUAGUUGCCGAGGAGGAGUCCUUAUUAAUCUGCCACUGCGCAGCCAGGAUGUCUAAAAAAAGAAAAGUGGACAUAAGAGACUUCUUUAGAAGUCAAAGUGUCACAGAGCCUCUUCAGCUGGUGGGGAUGGACCUGAUGGGUAAACUUACUCUAACAGAAGGUGGUAAUCAUGUGUCAUGGUUGAUUGUUUCACCAAAUGGGCAGAGGCCUACCCACUCAAAAGUAAAAAAGCAGAUGAGGUCACAAAUUGUAUUAUUUAUUUCUUUUACAAUUUGGUUCACCCAAAAGACUGUUAACAGACCAGGGCUGAGUUUCGCAACAAGGUACAAUCAUGAAUAAUUCUGAGUCUUUUGUGUGUUACUUCUGUUAUGCUGACUUUUCUACUUUACCCAACUAUAAUUUCAAGAUCAACCUCAGAUUGUGUGACAGGCUCGGGAUUAAGAGGAGCCUCUGUGCUCCUCAUCAUCCUCAAACUAAUGGCCUUGUGGAGAGACUAAAUGGCACAGUACAGAGAUGUGGGAAAACUACCUGCAAGCAACAAUGUUCAUGUGGCGUCUUCAUGUGCAAGCUUGCAGAACAGAUACUUCAAAAAGUAUGUGUGGACUACCCAGUUGAUGAAAAGGGGUGGAAAUAUUUAGAAUCAACAUAGUGACAACCUUGCUGAGUGACACAGAUGACUUGUCUCAACUGUGUCCGGCCUGUGGGGAGGAGUGCUCAGGGGCUGAAAUGGACCAGGGGAUUAAGUGCACCAGCUGCCUUAUGUGGUACCACACAGUCUGCAUGAGCAACCCCUCAGUGGAAGGGGACUAUUUUUUGCAAAUCAUGCUUGUCCUAAUCAUUAAAACUUC